rnacentral:rRNA from 1 species
AUUGAACGCUAGCGGGAUGCUUUACACAUGCGAGUCGAACGGCAGCACGAAAAGAGCUUGCUCUUUUUGGUGGCGAGUGGCGAACGGGUGAGUAAUGUAUCGGAACGUACCCAGUAGCGGGGGAUAACUACGCGAAAGCGUGGCUAAUACCGCAUACGCCCUACGGGGGAAAGGGGGGGAUCGCAAGACCUCUCACUAUUGGAGCGGCCGAUAUCGGAUUAGCUAGUUGGUGGGGUAAAGGCUCACCAAGGCAACGAUCCGUAGCUGGUUUGAGAGGACGACCAGCCACACUGGGACUGAGACACGGCCCAGACUCCUACGGGAGGCAGCAGUGGGGAAUUUUGGACAAUGGGGGAAACCCUGAUCCAGCCAUCCCGCGUGUGCGAUGAAGGCCUUCGGGUUGUAAAGCACUUUUGGCAGGGAAGAAACGGCGCUGACUAAUACUUGGCGCAACUGACGGUACCUGCAGAAUAAGCACCGGCUAACUACGUG